UGGGGAAUAUUGGACAAUGGGCGAAAGCCUGAUCCAGCCAUGCCGCGUGUGUGAAGAAGGUCUUCGGAUUGUAAAGCACUUUAAGUUGGGAGGAAGGGCAUUAACCUAAUACGUUAGUGUUUUGACGUUACCGACAGAAUAAGCACCGGCUAACUCUGUGCCAGCAGCCGCGGUAAUACAGAGGGUGCAAGCGUUAAUCGGAAUUACUGGGCGUAAAGCGCGCGUAGGUGGUUUGUUAAGUUGGAUGUGAAAUCCCCGGGCUCAACCUGGGAACUGCAUUCAAAACUGACUGACUAGAGUAUGGUAGAGGGUGGUGGAAUUUCCUGUGUAGCGGUGAAAUGCGUAGAUAUAGGAAGGAACACCAGUGGCGAAGGCGACUACCUGGACUAAUACUGACACUGAGGUGCGAAAGCGUGGGGAGCAAACA
rnacentral:rRNA from 1 species